rnacentral:rRNA from 1 species
UACGUAGGGGGCUAGCGUUGUCCGGAAUCAUUGGGCGUAAAGCGCGUGUAGGCGGCCCGGUAAGUCCGCUGUGAAAGUCGGGGGCUCAACCCUCGGAUGCCGGUGGAUACUGUCGGGCUCGAGCACGGUAGAGGCGAGUGGAAUUCCCGGUGUAGCGGUGGAAUGCGUAGAUAUCGGGAAGAACACCGGUGGCGAAGGCGGCUCGCUGGGCCGUUGCUGACGCUGAGGCGCGAAAGCGUGGGGAGCAAACAGG